rnacentral:misc_RNA from 1 species
UUUUUUUUUUUUUUCCUUCUCUCUUCGUUUAUUUUCAAAAAGCUUAAUUGGAUGAACCAGGAUUCAAGUUUGAAGCUUUCAUGUUGCAGGUGAAAGGGAAGCCGAAAGGUGUAAAUUCUUCUCAGUAGCCAGAGAAAAGUGAGGUACAAAAAGGCAAAACAAGAGUUAUUAGCUUCCCUUCCCAUAACGGAUAAAGCUUCGAUAUUUUUUGUGUUGGAAAUUGGGCCUUCCAAAUUCAGGAGCAAAUCAUUGUAGAAUAAUUUUGGAAGUCAUGGCGGGUCCUUAUCUUGGAAGCUUACUUUCCAUAUCAAUAUUGAUACUGGCAUUUCACACUUCUUAUUCACAAGCCUUACUGGAGAAUAGAAAUGAGAUAAAGUCUGCCACUUUUCUAUCCCCCAAGUUUGUGUUGGGACCAGGAUCAGUUGAGAACAGAUUUUACUACAACAUAGAUUUCCCAAGAGGUCAUAUUGCUAUUAAGAGUUUUAAUGCUGAAGUAAUUGAUGAGGCUGGGAAUCCUGUCCCACUUCAUGAAACAUAUCUGCACCACUGGGUUGUUGUAAGAUACUAUCAACGUUUGGAUGUGGCAAAUAUUGAGAACAAUGACAGGCUGCAGGUUCGUCAAUCAGAUCAUCUUUUUGCAGGGAACAGUGGGAUAUGCCAAGGCAGUCUUCUUAGACAGUAUUUUGGCCUUGGAUCUGAAACACGGAGAACAGCUACCCAUGUUCCAGAUCCUUAUGGAAUAGAAAUCGGUAAUCCUGCUGAAAUUCCUGCAGGAUAUGAGGAGAGAUGGUUGCUUAAUGUGCAUGCAAUCGAUACUCGAGGGGCUGAAGAUAAGUUGGGAUGCACUGAAUGCAGGUGUGACCUAUACAAUGUCACAGUCGAUGAAUAUGAUCGUCCUCUGAGGCCAGACUAUAAAGGAGGGUUAUUUUGUUGCUAUGACCAUACACAGUGCAAAGUUAGAACAGGUUUUGAGGGGACCAGCCGGAGCCUCUACCUUAGGUAUACAGUGAAGUGGAUUGCUUGGGAUAGUUCCAUCAUCCCAGUUAAAAUCUUUAUAUUUGAUGUCACUGAUACUGGAAAAAGGAUUACAGGUUCAACCGAACUCAGUCCUGAGAAUGGCUGCCAGGUCGAGUAUGAAGUUAUGCCUUGCAAUGGCACUGGUGUGGGUGUCGAUGAAUGUAUUGACGUCAAAAGGACAAGCCUCACCAUGCCUACUGGUGGUUAUGUCAUCUAUGGCGUUGCUCAUCAGCAUACUGGAGGGACCGGUUCAACUCUAUAUAGGCAGGAUGGACGUGUUAUAUGCAGUUCAAUUCCGACCUAUGGAGAAGGAAAAGAGGCAGGAAAUGAGGCUGGUUACAUUGUAGGGAUGUCCACUUGUUAUCCCGAGCCGGGCUCUGUAGAGAUUGCUGAUGGGGAGAAUCUAAUCCUGGAAUCUAAGUAUAGCAGAACUCAAAUGCAUACAGGAGUUAUGGGGGUAUUCUACAUUUUGGUUGCAGACCAAAUACCAAAGGCUAAGCCUUUUUCACACACAAAUCAUGUUCAUGUAAGUUGUUAGUAGGAAUUCUCAGUGGAAAUUAAAAGGAAAGAAGGCCGAGAGUCUAUUUGGUUAACACUAAUUAGCAGCUCUAAGCUCAGAUGGUGUCUAUGGUUGUUGCAGAUAAAUGAAGACAUGAAAUCCUCCUCUUAUUCUUGGGCAGUAGCAGUGGUGGCACUGCUGGGACUAGCAAUAGCUAUUGCCAUUACAAUUCGAUAUCAGCUAAAGAGGAAGGUAAAAGAUGGCUACCAACCAAUUAUGGCAUAAAGUUUGUAUUAUUACUACGCCUACCCAAAAAUAAUGUAAACAUAUGCAAUAGUGUUUUGAGCUUUUAUGUAUGGAAAGUAGAAAGCAAAUACGCUUAUGUGUGAAUCAACAAGGGACUCGUGUAGCAAUUGGAAGUCAAUGAUAUCGGAGAGUCUGUAAGAUGAGUUAUAUCAGAAAUCAAUUGGAAAUAAUGAGGUGGGCACUUAGAUGUUCGUGAAAGGAUUGAACCAAAGCCCGUCUACUUGUGGAAUAUUCAACAUCAGUUUUCGUCUCUGUUAAUUCGUUUUGUCGUUUUCAAUUUUUUUAUCAUGAUGUAGGCCCUUCCCUUCCCUUCCCUGUGCUGAUUGCCGAUCAUUUCUCGUUGCCUACCAUGGCAACAUUUAUUGCUCUGUCGUGUGACAUUACUCCAAC